rnacentral:tRNA from 1 species
GGGAAUGUGACUCAGUGGUAGAGUGCUUGCCUUGCAUGCAUAAGGCCCUGGGUUCAAUUCCUCAGCACCA